GAUCAAGCGCAUAAGGGCUUCUGACGGAUGCCUUGGCAUUGAGAGGCGAUGAAGGACGUGGCACGCUGCGAUAAGAGCCGGGGAGGCGCGAGCACCCUUUGAUCCGGCUAUCUCCGAAUGGGGAAACCCACCUUUAUGGUCACCCAACUUAGUCUAGCCUUCGGGCUAGGCCAGGAUUGGAUGGUCAGAAGAGGUAUAAUGGGCUGAAUACAUAGGCUCCAUUAAGCAAACCCGGGGAACUGAAACAUCUCAGUACCCGGAGGAAAGGACAUCAACCGAGACUCCCGUAGUAGUGGCGAGCGAACCGGGACCAGGCCAGUGCUGUCGUGACAUAAAGCUGAACGACUUGGAAAGGUCGGCCAUAGUGGGUGAUAGCCCCGUAAGCGUCAAAUAGCGACAGACUCGAGUAGGGCGGGACACGUGAAAUCCUGUCUGAACAUGGGGGGACCACCCUCCAAGCCUAAGUACUCCUCAAUGACCGAUAGUGAACAAGUACCGUGAGGGAAAGGUGAAAAGCACCCCGACAAGGGGAGUGAAACAGAUCCUGAAAUCGGAAGCCUACAAGCAGUCGGAGCCACCGCGCGUGGUGACGGCGUACCUUUUGUAUAAUGGGUCAGCGACUUCAUGUGCCGUGCAAGCUUAAGCCGUUAGGUGUAGGCGCAGCGAAAGCGAGUCUGAAUAGGGCGAAUAAGUACGUCGCAUGACGACCCGAAACCAGGUGAUCUAUCCAUGAGCAGGUUGAAGGUAAGGUAACACUUACUGGAGGACCGAACCGGUGAAUGUUGAAAAAUUCUCGGAUGACUUGUGGAUAGGGGUGAAAGGCCAAUCAAACCUGGACAUAGCUGGUUCUCCGCGAAAACUAUUUAGGUAGUGCCUCGGACGUAUUCCUUGGGGGGUAGAGCACUGAAUGGAUGCGGGGGGAGCGAUCUCUACCAAUUCUAAUCAAACUCCGAAUACCCAAGAGAACUAUCCGGGAGACACACGGCGGGUGCUAACGUCCGUCGUGAAAAGGGAAACAACCCUAACCAUCAUCUAAGGCCCCCAAGUUCUGGCUAAGUGGGAAACGAUGUGGGUUUGCUUUGACAACCAGGAUGUUGGCUUAGAAGCAGCCAUCAUUUAAAGAAAGCGUAACAGCUCACUGGUCAAGCGAACCUGCGCGGAAAAUGUAACGGGGCUCAAGCCAGACGCCGAAGGUAUGGGUGUGCGUAAGCACGCGGUAGCGGAGCGUUCCGUAAGCCGUUGAAGGUGAGGCGCGAGCCUUGCUGGAGGUAUCGGAAGUGAGAAUGCUGACAUGAGUAGCGAUAAAGAGUGUGAGAGACACUCUCGCCGAA
rnacentral:rRNA from 1 species